UACGUAGGGUGCAAGCGUUGUCCGGAAUUAUUGGGCGUAAAGAGCUCGUAGGCGGUUUGUCGCGUCUGCUGUGAAAACUCGGGGCUUAACCCCGGGCCUGCAGUGGGUACGGGCAGACUAGAGUGCGGUAGGGGAGAACGGAAUUCCUGGUGUAGCGGUGAAAUGCGCAGAUAUCAGGAGGAACACCGGUGGCGAAGGCGGUUCUCUGGGCAUUACCUGACGCUGAGGAGCGAAAGUGUGGGGAGCGAACAGG
rnacentral:rRNA from 1 species